CCUACGGGUGGCAGCAGUGGGGAAUAUUGGACAAUGGGGGCAACCCUGAUCCAGCCAUGCCGCGUGUGUGAAGAAGGCCCUCGGGUUGUAAAGCACUUUCAGUGAGGAAGAACGCCUGGUGGUUAAUACCCAUCAGGAAAGACAUCACUCACAGAAGAAGCACCGGCUAACUCCGUGCCAGCAGCCGCGGUAAUACGGAGGGUGCGAGCGUUAAUCGGAAUUACUGGGCGUAAAGCGCGCGUAGGUGGCUUGAUAAGCCGGUUGUGAAAGCCCCGGGCUCAACCUGGGAACGGCAUCCGGAACUGUCAAGCUAGAGUGCAGGAGAGGAAGGUAGAAUUCCCGGUGUAGCGGUGAAAUGCGUAGAGAUUGGGAGGAAUACCAGUGGCGAAGGCGGCCUUCUGGACUGACACUGACACUGAGGUGCGAAAGCGUGGGUAGCAAACAGGAUUAGAUACCCCAGUAGUC
rnacentral:rRNA from 1 species